UUACGGUGACAUCACGUUGAAAAACUGGUUCUCGUACGAUCACAGAAGUUAAGCAACGUCAACACUGGUUAGUAAGUAGAUGGGUGACCACUUGGGAAUAUCAGGUGCUGUAAU